rnacentral:rRNA from 1 species
GACGAACGCUGGCGGCGUGCCUAAUACAUGCAAGUAGGACGCAGUUGCGUACGGGUGAGUAACGCGUAUGUAACUACCGAUUAGAGGGGGAUCACUAUUGGAAACGAUAGCUAAUACCGCAUACUAGUAGAUGGACCUGCGUUGUAUUAGCUAGUAGGUAGGGUAAUGGCCUACCUAGGGAAUGAUACAUAGCCGCCGUGAGAGGGAGGUCGGCCAAACUGGGGAUGAAGCAAGGCCCAGAAUCCCACGGGAGGCAGGAGGAGGGAAAGUUCGGCAAAGGGGGGAACCCUUACCGCACAACGCCGGGGGAGUGAAGAAGGUUCUCGGGUCGGAAAGCUCUUUUGUUAAGGGAGCGGUACUUAACCAGAAAGGAACGGCUAACUACGUGCCAGCAGCCGCGGUAAUAC